AUUGAACGCUGGCGGCGUGCCUAACACAUGCAAGUCGAGCGGCAGCGGGCCCGCAAGGGUGCCGGCGAGCGGCGGACGGGUGAGCAAUACAUAGGAAUCUGCCUCAGAGCGGGGGAUAGCCAGGGGAAACCCUGAUUAAUACCGCAUGAUGUCGAGAGACCAAAGUGGGGGACCGUAAGGCCUCACACUCUGAGAUGAGCCUAUGUCGGAUUAGCUAGUUGGCGGGGUAACGGCCCACCAAGGCGACGAUCCGUAGCUGGUCUGAGAGGACGACCAGCCACACGGGAACUGAGACACGGUCCCGACUCCUACGGGAGGCAGCAGUGGGGAAUUUUCCGCAAUGGGCGAAAGCCUGACGGAGUGACGCCGCGUGGGGGACGAAGGCCUUCGGGUCGUAAACCCCUGUCAGAGGGAAAGAAGGGUCGCCGACCUAAUACGUCGGUGAUCUGACGGUACCUUCAGAGGAAGCCCCGGCCAACUCUGUGCCAGCCGCCGCCGUAACAC
rnacentral:rRNA from 1 species